rnacentral:rRNA from 1 species
GAUGAACGCUAGCGGGAGGCUUAACACAUGCAAGUCGAGGGGCAGCAUAAGGUAGCAAUACUUUGAUGGCGACCGGCGCACGGGUGAGUAACGCGUAUGUAACCUACCCUGUACAGGGGGAUAACCCGGAGAAAUUCGGACUAAUACCCCAUAAAGAUAUGAAGGGGCAUCUUUUUAUAUUUAAAGUUCCGGCGGUACGGGAUGGGCAUGCGUAACAUUAGCUAGUUGGUAAGGUAACGGCUUACCAAGGCUGCGAUGUUUAGGGGUCCUGAGAGGGUGAUCCCCCACACUGGUACUGAGACACGGACCAGACUCCUACGGGAGGCUG